rnacentral:rRNA from 1 species
UCAAGUGAAUAAGCGUGCACGGUGGAUGCCUAGGCAGUCAGAGGCGAUGAAGGACGUGGUAACCUGCGAAAAGCUUUGGGGAGGUGGUAAACAACCUAUGAUCCAGAGAUAUCCGAAUGGGGAAACCCACCCAGUGUAAGCUGGGUACCCUAUACUGAAUACAUAGGUAUAGGGGGCGAACCGGGAGAACUGAAACAUCUAAGUACCCCGAGGAAAAGAAAUCAAUUGAGAUUCCCCUAGUAGCGGCGAGCGAACGGGGAUUAGCCCUUAAGUUUAUUAUGUUUUAGCGGAAGUAGCUGGAAAGUUACGCCAUAGUGGGUGAUAGCCCCGUACGCGAAAAGGCAUUUUAAGUGAAAACGAGUAGGUCGGGACACGAGAAAUCUUGACUGAACAUGGGGGGACCAUCCUCCAAGGCUAAAUACUCCUGACUGACCGAUAGUGAACCAGUACCGUGAGGGAAAGGCGAAAAGAACCCCUGUGAGGGGAGUGAAAUAGAUCCUGAAACCGUGUACGUACAAGCAGUGGGAGCCGAUUUAUUCGGUGACUGCGUACCUUUUGUAUAAUGGGUCAGCGACUUAAUUUUAGUAGCAAGCUUAACCGAAUAGGGGAGGCGUAGGGAAACCGAGUCUUAAUAGGGCGCACAGUUGCUAGGAUUAGACCCGAAACCGGGCGAUCUACCCAUGGCCAGGUUGAAGGUUGAGUAACAUCAACUGGAGGACCGAACCCACGUAUGUUGAAAAAUGCGGGGAUGAGCUGUGGGUCGGAGUGAAAGGCUAAUCAAGCCCGGAGAUAGCUGGUUCUCCUCGAAAGCUAUUUAGGUAGCGCCUCGUGUCUCACCAUUGGGGGUAGAGCACUGUUUCGGCUAGGGGGUCAUCCCGACUUACCAACCCGAUGCAAACUCCGAAUACCAAUGAGUGCAAUCACGGGAGACACACGGCGGGUGCUAACGUCCGUCGUGGAAAGGGAAACAACCCAGACCGUCAGCUAAGGUCCCAAAGUGUAUGUUAAGUGGGAAACGAUGUGGGAAGGUUUAGACAGCUAGGAGGUUGGCUUAGAAGCAGCCAUCCUUUAAAGAAAGCGUAAUAGCUCACUAGUCGAGUCGGCCUGCGCGGAAGAUAUAACGGGGCUAAAUUGGUAACCGAAGCUGCGGAUGCAUACUUCCUUCGGGUUGUGUGCAUGGUAGAGGAGCGUUCUGUAAGCCGUUGAAGGUAGACCGGGAGGUUUGCUGGAGGUAUCAGAAGUGCGAAUGCUGACAUGAGUAACGAUAAGGGGGGUGAAAAACCUCCCCGCCGGAAGAUCAAGGUUUCCUGUCCAACGCUAAUCGGGACAGGGUAAGUCGGCCCCUAAGGCGAGGGCGAAAGCCGUAGUCGAUGGGAAGCAGGUUAAUAUUCCUGCACUUAUAUUUAUUGCGAUGGAGGGACGGAGUAGGCUAGGCCAGCGCGGCGUUGGUUGUCCGCGUUUAAGCGUGUAGGCUUAAAUCUUAGGUAAAUCCGGGAUUUUUUAAGGCUGAGGCGUGAUGACGAGGUCCAUUAGGACUGAAGUGGUUGAUGCCAUGCUUCCAGGAAAAGCUUCUAAGCAUCAGAUAUUGAGUGACCGUACCCCAAACCGACACAGGUGGUCAGGUAGAGAAUACCAAGGCGCUUGAGAGAACUCGGGUGAAGGAACUAGGCAAAAUGGUACCGUAACUUCGGGAGAAGGUACGCCGCUGAUGGUGAUGGGACUUGCUCCCUAAGCUGUUGGCGGCCGAAGAUACCAGGUGGCUGCGACUGUUUAUUAAAAACACAGCACUGUGCAAACACGAAAGUGGACGUAUACGGUGUGACGCCUGCCCGGUGCCGGAAGGUUAAUUGAUGAGGUUAGCGCAAGCGAAGCUUUUGAUCGAAGCCCCGGUAAACGGCGGCCGUAACUAUAACGGUCCUAAGGUAGCGAAAUUCCUUGUCGGGUAAGUUCCGACCUGCACGAAUGGCGUAACGACGGCCACACUGUCUCCACCCGAGACUCAGUGAAAUUGAAAUCGCUGUUAAGAUGCAGUGUAUCCGCGGCUAGACGGAAAGACCCCGUGAACCUUUACUAUAGCUUCACAGUGAACUUUGAACCUAUUUGUGUAGGAUAGGUGGGAGGCUUUGAAGCGGUGACGCUAGUCAUCGUGGAGCCAAACUUGAAAUACCACCCUGGUAUGUUUGAGGUUCUAACUCAGGUCCGUAAUCCGGAUCGAGGACACUGUGUGGUGGGUAGUUUGACUGGGGCGGUCUCCUCCCAAAGAGUAACGGAGGAGCACGAAGGUAUGCUAAUCAUGGUCGGAAAUCAUGAGGUUAGUGCAAUGGCAUAAGCAUGCUUAACUGCGAGACAGACACGUCGAGCAGAUACGAAAGUAGGUCAUAGUGAUCCGGUGGUUCUGAAUGGAAGGGCCAUCGCUCAACGGAUAAAAGGUACUCCGGGGAUAACAGGCUGAUACCGCCCAAGAGUUCACAUCGACGGCGGUGUUUGGCACCUCGAUGUCGGCUCAUCACAUCCUGGGGCUGAAGCCGGUCCCAAGGGUAUGGCUGUUCGCCAUUUAAAGUGGUACGCGAGCUGGGUUUAGAACGUCGUGAGACAGUUCGGUCCCUAUCUGCCGUGGGCGUUUGAGAAUUGAGAAGAGCUGCUCCUAGUACGAGAGGACCGGAGUGGACGAACCUCUGGUGUUCCGGUUGUCACGCCAGUGGCAUUGCCGGGUAGCUACGUUCGGACAGGAUAACCGCUGAAAGCAUCUAAGCGGGAAGCCCCCUUCAAGAUGAGAUCUCACAGGAGUUUAACUCCCUAAAGAGCCGUUCAAGACUAGGACGUUGAUAGGUUGGGUGUGUAAGCGCGGUAACGUGUUGAGCUAACCAAUACUAAUUGCUCGUGAGGCUUGACCAU